rnacentral:rRNA from 1 species
UAUAAGUUAUUUAAUGGCCGCAGUAUUUUGACUGUGCGAAGGUAGCAUAAUCAAUUGUCUUUUAAUUGGAGUCUGGUAUGAAUGAAUUAAUGUAAUGGUUGCUGUUUUUAUUUUAUAUGUGAAUUUUUAUGCUAAGUGAAGAUACUUAGAUUGUAAUAAAAGACGAGAAGACCCUAUUAAGUUUUAUAGUUUUUAUUUAUUUUUAUGUUAUUAUUAUAUUUUAGCUGUUUGGUUGGGGCAAUUUUGGAAUAAUUAAAAUUUCUAAUUUUGAAUGAUGUUUUUAAUAGAUUAGUUUUAAGAUCCAUAGGUUUGAUUUUUAGAAUAAAUUACUAUAGGGAUAACAGCGUAAUUUUUCUAUAGAGUUCUUAUCGAUGGAGAAGUUUGCGACCUCGAUGUUGAAUCAAGAUUCCUGAUUGGUGCAGUAAUUUUUUAAGGUAGUCU